rnacentral:rRNA from 1 species
AGGACGAACGCUGGCGGCGUGCUUAACACAUGCAAGUCGAACGAUAAAGCCCCUUCGGGGGUACACGAAUGGCGAACAGAUGAGUAACACGUGAACAACCUGCCCUUAACUCUAGAAUAACAGUUGGAAACAGCUGCUAAUACCGGAUAUGACUCCUCAUUGAUUGGUGGGGAGUGGAAAGCUUUUGCGGUCAGGGAUGGGCUCGCGGCCUAUCAGCUUGUUGGUGAGGUAAUGGCUCACCAAGACUUCAACGGGUAACCGGCCUGAGAGGGCGACCGGACCACGACUGGGACUGAGAUACGGCCCAGACUCCUACGGGAGGCAGCAGUGGGGAAUAUUGCACAAUGGGCGAAAGCCUGAUGCAACAACGCCGCGUACGGGAUGACGGCCUUCGGUUGUAAACCGCUUUCACCUGUGACGAAGCUAACAUGACGGUAGCAGGAGAAGAAGGACCGGCUAACGUACGUGCCAGCAGCCGC